UUUGUGAAUGUUACCUCAUAUGGUAAAAGGUGCUUUGCAGAAAUGAUGAAAAGUCUUGAGAUCAAGAGAUUAUCCUGGAUCAUUUGGGUGGACCUGUUACCACAGUGGUCUUCAUAAGAAGGAUGUGCAGGAGUCAGAGUCAGAUAGAAUGCAGUAUCACAACAGAAACAGAUUGGAGUGAUGUGGCCACAAGCCAUGGAUGCUGUAGUUUCCAGAACAGCCCCAGUGCCUGUCCAUGGCUUGUAAGGAACCGGGUGCACAGCAGGAGCAUAAAAAAUGAUGGGAAAGACUGCACCGGCAACUUGUCUUUGGAGUCAAACAAACCUGAGGAAAUAGAAAAGUUUCAAAAAGGAGAAGGCAAGGAUGAAGAAAAGUACAUUGAUGUGGUGAUUAAUAAGAACAUGAAGCUGGGACAGAAAGUGUUAAUUCCUGUGAAACAGUUCCCUAAGUUCAACUUUGUGGGAAAACUUUUGGGUCCACGUGGCAAUUCUCUGAAGCGUUUACAAGAAGAAACUUUGACAAAAAUGUCCAUCCUUGGAAAAGGUUCCAUGAGAGACAAGGCCAAGGAAGAAGAGUUGAGGAAAAGUGGAGAAGCAAAGUACUUCCAUCUCAAUGAUGAUCUCCAUGUUCUCAUUGAAGUGUUUGCCCCACCUGCAGAAGCUUAUGCCAGGAUGGGACAUGCUUUGGAAGAAAUCAAAAAGUUCCUCAUCCCUGAUUAUAAUGAUGAGAUCAGGCAAGCACAGCUUCAGGAAUUAACAUACUUGAAUGGUGGUUCAGAAAAUGCAGAUGUUCCAGUGGUUCGAGGGAAACCCACCUUGCGUACAAGAGGUGUACCAGCCCCAGCAAUAACCAGGGGAAGGGGAGGAGUUACAGCCCGGCCAGUUGGAGUUGUAGUACCACGAGGGACGCCAACGCCCAGAGGAGUCCUCUCCACCCGAGGGCCCGUGAGUCGGGGAAGAGGACUUCUCACUCCCAGAGCCAGAGGAGUCCCCCCAACUGGGUACAGACCUCCACCGCCACCCCCAACACAAGAGACUUAUGGAGAAUAUGACUAUGAUGAUGGAUAUGGCACUGCUUAUGAUGAACAGAGUUAUGAUUCCUAUGAGAACAGCUAUAGCACCCCAGCCCAAAGUGGUGCUGAUUACUAUGAUUAUGGACAUGGACUCAGUGAGGAGACUUAUGAUUCCUACGGGCAAGAAGAGUGGACUAACUCAAGACACAAGGCACCUUCAGCGAGGACAGCAAAGGGCGUCUACAGAGACCAGCCAUAUGGCAGAUACUGAUUGUACUGUCUGAUGUUGUGAAAUAGCCAAUCUCCACCAGUCCUGUAUACUGUUCAAAGAAAUGGCAGUCAUCUUGGAAUGUUGAAGGAACUGGUUGCACACCUGAAGGAAUCAAAGGUAAGUUUGCCUUUUGGUUCCAGUGAUUCUGAUCUGCUGUGGAAGAUGAAGACAAUUUCAUGCUUAUCUAAAGUCACAUGGAAAAUUUCCCCUGCUGAUUUCCUAUUACUAGUGAUUAUGUCAAAUUAACUACAAAAGUCAGAAAAGAAGCUUCCUGAAUCAAGUCUGACCCAGGAAGCUUCAUUAUAAGCGGCAGAGAUUGGAGGCUCAGGUCAUCCUGAUAUUUAAAUAUUCAGAUUACUUUCAAUAGCAUGAAAAACAUUUUCCAGAUCAUUCAGGAAAGAGAGCAGUUUGCCAAACUUAAUAUAUAAUAUGAUCCCAAUUUUAGUUUUCUAUGUGUGUAGGCAAAAAAAUUACACAGAUAGGCUGGAAAUUUUUGACAGUAUUUAUCUUAGUCUUAUGGAAGCAUGAUUUUCUGUGCUUCUCAAUUUUAUGAAACAAAUUAUAAGUAUUAUAAAAUGUACUUUAUAAAAAUUACUUCUUUAAAAAAAUGUAAAAAUCUGGGGACCUAUAAAGGAAAGAUAUUAUUUUUGUCUCUUUUUUUACAUUUUCUUGGUUUUUUUCUAAUGCAUAAAAAAAAUACUAUGUAGGCUCUAAUCUUCCAGAGAGUAUUAUUUUUUCAGUAUUUGUAUUUGAGCUCUGCCACUUAACUGUGUGACUUUGGGCAAGUCUCACUUUCUCCAUCAGUUCAGUGAAAAUGAUGCUUAUCUCAUGCAUUUGUUAGAAGAAUUAAGAUAAUAUUGUCAGAGUGUUUUGCAACGUGAAAGUGAUCCAGUCAUAUAAAGUUUAAUUGUCAAAGUUGUAUUCACAUGUUUAAUAUAUAUGAAAAAUAUAUGAGCCUUUUUCUUAAUAGCCAAAAUUAGCCUGAAAUAAUUAAAUUACCUUUAGAAAGAAGAUAAUUCUCAUUUUUGUAGACAAAGUAAGUUUAUUUUCUUUUUUUUUUUUUUUUUUGUGUUGUAUGGAAAGGGAAUGUGACGAUCACCACAUCUCUGUAGUGUGUGAUGUUAUUGAAACUUUUCAUGAUUGUUUUUCUUUAUUAAAUGGUUUUUUUAAGGAGUUGGCUUACAGAAUAAUAAGUUAAGAAUUAGGGAGAGGUGAAGGGUCCAUCCUCAGAGUUAAUGGGAUAGGUAGAGGGUCCAUCCUCAGAGUGCUCUUCAGAGUUAAUAGGAAAUACCAUACAGUUUUAUGUUUAUUAUCCUGUUUUCAAAGCACUCAUAGCUUUAUCCGACUGUAAAAAGGGGUUGUGAUCCAGAAGGGUCCAGAACACUAUUGGACAGGAACUUUCCUACUUGUCCUUCAAGACCUUCUCUUAUCUGGCUGAUACUCCAGCAAACCUUAUUAUUUUCUAUUUCCACAGGAAGGCCCUGCUGUAGAUAAGCCCAUCUUUCCCUGUCUCUAAGGGCACAUCGCAUGUUCCCAAGUCGCUUCCUCCUAACUUUGUUUUCUCCCCUUGGAAUUCAUUUAUCUUCUCAUAUGACAGCAUCCAUGGAACAUGAAUGAGCUCCAUACUGGACACAACAGAGGCACUGGUCAUACAAAGGCUGAUAACACAUGGACCCCUGUAUUCAAGUACCGCAAAACCAAAUGGAGGUGACAGGCCCAUAACAAACAACUUGCUGUCCCCUGUAUCUUCACAUGAGGAAAACAUACCUGUCCUUCAGAACUCGGCCCCAUGCCCUCUCUUCCAUGAUGUCCUCACCGGUUAAAUCAGGCUGUGAUUCCUCCACCGUCUCUAAAGAGCAUGUUUGGUUUCUAUUUCUUCAUUUUAGUGUUGGUAUCCUAUGACUUAUAUUGGUUGUAAGUGGCCAUAACAACUAAGCAUGUGCUUAUAAUUUUCUGUAAAUUAUUUUAUUGAAUCCUCACAGGCAUAAGAAGGUAUCAUCUACAUUUUAAAAAAGGAAGAAAUUUAAGCUUCAGGAGGUGAAUUUCACACUUAGGUUGCUCAUGUACUUGACAAUUGGUAAAGCCCAGAUUUGAACCCAUUGACUUUAAUCCAGAGUCUUCGAUGUUAACCAUUUUGUUAUACUGUCAUUCUCAAUAUUACAGUGGCUUCUCCAUUGGAUUAAAGGCUGUUUAAGAGCAGGAGCCUUUAAUUUUUGUUACUUUGUGUCACAGAGAGUAUCUCACACAAAGCUGAGCAUUGUGAAUAACUGCCCUCUUCUCUUUCUCUACCCCACCUUGCCCCAGAUUCCUUCACGGAGAGAGUCUGUGGCUUGUUUAGGUUCUGAAUCUUUUUGUACUCAGGUGUUCCAAGUCAAGUCUGUAUCAGUAUUUACUCGGAUAUAUUUCCUGAACACUGGCUGUGCUGCAGACAGUAGGAAUACAAUGAUUAAAGACAUCAUUGCUGUCCUUGGAAGUGCCACAGUCUGCUGGGGAAAUGGGCAAAGAUGAAGUCUGUAGAGCUCGGACAGAGAUAUAUGUGCUUUCUAGGCACGUGGAAUGGGGAUGUGUAACCCAGGCAGGGUGGUCAGAGGUAGCAGAAGAGGCCCAUGGAGAUACUAAGACCAGGAGAAGAUAGCGCCACAGGGCAGAUACUCUCAGAGCAUCCAUAUGUCCGCUCUGCCCUUCACCUGCUUUGUGAUCUUGAGUCCGUGGCUUAACCUCUCGUAAUAAGAAUCUAAACUGCAGGUUCCCCACUAAUAAAAGAGACAGUUAUGAUGCCUAUCUUAGUAUUGCUGUGAUGAUUAGAAGCAUGCCCGGCACAAAUAAAGAUGUUCACUCAUUGGUUUCUAUAUGUAAAUUUUUGCAAUUAUAAGAAAACAUCAUUUAGGAAACUUCAGUUAUAUUAGAUAAUUAGAGAAAGAAAGGGACAAUGCUGGCUGUGCAGGAUAAAGGACAUGUAAUGAAGGGUCUUGUAGAUUCUGCUAGGAAGCUCAAAUUCAGUGCAGCCAUUUUCAAGUAUGGUAUCCUCUGCCUUUAAGCUUGACCUACUCCAUUCUCUGGGGCAGAUACAGUUCCUCAUUUAGUCUGUUCCAAAAAGAACUCUACAGACCUCUGUUUUCACUGGUUAGUGAUUUUAUAACCAGACAAUCAGUGCCUUAAAAAAUAGGCACUCUAACUGUUUUACCCUCUUGUCCCCCAUCUUUUACGUAGUUAUUUGACUGUGUAAGGGUUUAUUUAGUAAGUGAAUGGCAUUGUCAGUGUGAUCAAGAUGAUUCCUAACAGGCAGUGUUAGGAACGGUUAACCAAGACCCCAAAAAACCCACACAAUCACGUUAACGGUACCACAGUUUAGAUAGUCAGGCUUUACUCAGAGUUUAACUCAGAGUUAAAGACUCUGGUCACUGUUUACAGAGACAGGUUCCAGAAUUUAAAACUAACGAUUUGAAGAAAAAGUAAUAAAAUUGUAGAGUCAAAAGUUAAAUGAAAAUAUAAAACAUUUGAUAGAAUAUGUGUGACAUCUAAGGAAUAAAGUGUAUUGUUUUCUGUGCAAAUAAUGUCUACUAUUAAUAUUGAUAUUCAGUGCUUUAUAGGAAUAGAAAGGAAAAAAAAUCAUUAUUUUAAAAUAACCAUCCAUUUUAUGCCUGAUUCUGUUUUGCUUUCUGAUUGGGAAAGGCUGCAGAUCAUUUUUCAAUCUGAAGUUCACCCUUCUGUUUCAAUGGAAAAUUCUGUCCAGUUGAAGUUGAUUCUGACAUUCCUGUUUCAGGAAUCUCAGUUAUGUAUUUCAGCUCUUAGCUCCUAUUGCUGAAGUCAUUUUUCAGAUCUUAAUGUGAUGAGUCCUUCAGUGACUUUCAGGAUAAAACUCAACCUCCUUGGCUCUGAACAUCAAGCCCUGCGUGAUUCUGCCGCUGGCCUCGUCAGCCGCCUGGAGCACAGCAUGCUCUGACCCCACCCCACUGUGGUUCAGCCCUGAUAGAUUGAAAACCAUCUAGAGCUUUUCCAGCAGUGCCAUUCUCUGCCUGAAGUCACAGUUCCUUACCCUACCCAAAUAAAUGAACACAGCUGAGUGGACACAACUCUCACCCAGCUCUUGGUCUAGCUAGUUGUUGCUGACCUGUCAGCACUUCCAAGUGAAACUUGAAGCAUCCCCUCACCCAGGAGACCCUCACAAGCCCACCAUCUUCACAUCCAGUCUGGGUGUAGAGUCUCUACUGUGGACCCUCAUCUUACUCGAUGAAUUCUGCAGUACAGUAUCCUGAGAUUGUCUGUUUGUUUGCCCUCCUUACCUCCGACCAGAUUGUGAACAUCUUUAGUGCAAUUACCAUGUCUUAUGCCUAAUAAGUGGUAAUUGAACAAGUCAUUGAAUGUAUGAGUGAAUAAAGUGAAUGUGGUAGCCGGGUGGCUGAUAGUACAGGGCAAUGUACUAGGUCUUGUUUGGCCUUAUUAGAUUAAGUUAGUCGUCCUUUCAUUCAAGGAGAACUUAGCAGGUUAUUAAGUUCUGUCUUGUGUGUUUAUCUCAUUUGAACCUCUGCUGGCGGGAUUUAUGUGUCUGCUACCUAACACAGGUCCCAGUAUGUAACAGACAGUCAAAACAAGGAGAUGGAAUAAACAAACAGGUACCAUUGUGAAGGUGCAUGGGUGGUGAUGUUAUCCUGAGGCUAGAUUUCUGUUCUGUUUAUUGAUGAGAUUUUCUCCCUGACUGCAAGACUGUAAGUUUCCUUGAAGAUAGAAGAACCAUGUGUCAUUUGACUCGUACUCCCAAAUCCUAGCCUACGGCCUGGCAUGCAGACAUAGUGGGAACUGACCAGGUGUUCAGUGAGGAAUGAAUGAACGAACAAGUGAACCUGUAGUUCUUGAAACACUAACAGUGAGCACACAUCAGUACAGACAGUCCCUGACUACAGUAGUUUGCCUUAAGACCUUUCCCCUUUUCAAUGGUGGAAAUGUAAUACAUGUUCAGUGGAAGCUGUACUUCAAAUUUUGAAUAUAUGUAUCUUUUCUCUCACAGCCAUGGCAGUAUGACUCACUCUUGCAGUCAUCAGUGAGCCGUCUGGUUUUUCACUUUGAGUACAGUGUUCAAAAAUUACUUGAGAUAUCAACACUUUAUUAUAAAACAGGCCUUGUUAGAUAAUUCAGCAAAUAUAAGUGUUUUGAGUACAUUUAAGGUAGGCUAAGCUAAGCUAUGAUGUUUGGUAGGUUACGUGUAUUAUAUACAUUUUCAGCUUAAUGUUUUUAACUUACAAUGGGUUUAUCAGGACGUAACCCCAUCCUAAAAUGAGGAAAAUUUGUAUUAAUUUGUUUUCUUAGUGGAAGUGUGAGGUUUCAAUAACUAUUCGAUUUUUUCAAUGAUAAAUGUGAAGUUGGAAAACCAAAAUAAGUCCUUUAUUUAGUCAGUAAUACAUGUGCUUGGUGCAGAAUAUAAAAUAUACACACAGUGGUCUUCAUUCCCACCCUUACCCCCACAUAUCCACAGGCAGCUGUUUGUAGUGGUUUUCAUGUAUCUUUCCAGAGAUAGUCUGUGGUUAGGUAAAGCACUUUUUAAAAAAUUAUUACUGUUUUUUACAUAAAAAACGUUAUGCCAUUUGCUCCCCUUGUUUUACUUUGAAGUAUGUCUUAGAGCUGAUUUUCUGCUAUUUUAUACUAGAAAGCUACCUUUUCCUUUUUAUUGGCUGAAUAAUAUUCACUUGAAAGAGCCAUAAUCCAAACAACUACUGACAGGCAUCCAGUUCCUUUCUAAUAUUUUGCUCUCAUUAAAGGCAGUGCAAGAAACCAUGUUUAUAAAUAUCUGUGGAAUGAAUUUUUAAAAUAGACUUAACUGGGAUUUUAUAGAUGUUUCCCAUAGAGGUCAUGGUGCAUCUUAAUCUGCUUUUCUGAAAGAAACCUAACUAAAUGCUGUAUGUAUUCAUUAUGGUCUGCAAGAUUAGCUCCUGUGACCACAGCCGAAGUUCAUCUGCUCAGAAGCUUCUUCUGUGGUCACAGGAGCUAAUCUUGCAGCUCCUGUGAUUUAAAAUGGUCUUUUAUACACAACACAUCUGGCAUGUAGCAGGCUGGAUACCUGUGUGAUUUAGCGAGAGAGGAGUGUGUGCUGGGUCCAGUAUGGACACCUCCUGGACGCUCGUCUGUGUCUCACGAGGAGAGCCGAAAGUCCUGCAAGCCUUCCUCAGACUCCUGUUGGUCUCCUCGCAUUCCUGGAGUUACUUACAUCAGCAAGUGCAUUGUUAAGGGCUGGCCUGUGGUACGGCAGGCUUUGUGGAAAGUACGCCACACCAGGGUAGCAGGAGACGCCUAUAGGCUCCCUAAGGAAACAGACAGGAUCUCCUCUAGCACUGCCCUGCACAGGUUCAUCGCCCACCUUCUCUUCUUCUCUGGCUAUCCAGAUCCUGCCAUUUCUUCAAGAUCUCUUUUCUCUCUCUCAGCCAAAAGAGCCUUCUCUUCUCUCCCCAUGGGAAACCUGGCUGAGAGGACUGGAUUGGCAGAUGUCUCAUUCUGACCCUCUGGUUGACGGGUUGAUGCUGUGUAAAUGUCCUUCAUCUCUAGUACGCUUCUUGAGGGUCACAAGUAUGUGUGUCACAUUUUAUAAACCUCAAAGCAUUCAGCACAAGCCACUCAAGAAAUAUUUAUUGGUUAAUUAAGGCAAUGCCCUCAUCAAUAGAUUUAAGAUAUUAGAUGCUUAACUUUUUAAAGUAUUCACCUUUAAAUAACAGUUUGCAUCUGAUUCAUCCUAGCAGUAUGAUGCUUUAUGCAGGUGACACUGAGAUGCCCACUGUGUCCCUGGCACUCUGUAUAUUACUACAGAAGAAGGGCAGAGAUGGUGCAGAGGAGAAAGCAAUGAACUUGGUCCGAGGACAAAGGAGGAAAUAAAACCUGAAUGGAGUUUCGAAAGUCGAAAUCUUACAAACCAGGAAGGGAGGAGACAAUGUGAAGACACGAUAAGCUACUGCAGGUGGGGGCGGGGGUGUUGACCCAGACAUGAUAUGACGUCACCUGUUUUGGGGACGUAUAAGCAGUUGCUAGAUAUAACGUAGGGCCUUGGAUUUGUACGGCCAGAGCUGUGAGAAGUCAACAUCACCACGAUGGCCAUUUCUCCACUGUGAUUCUUUUGUUUUUUGUUUUUUCUGAUCACCAGCCAGUUUUCAGUUUUGUAUAACACAUCAAAAUAGAUUAUUUCUGGUUAGGUAAUAAAAAAAAACUUAAAUAUGUCUGAAAAUUCAGUCUCUUCUCGGGUGACAAGAAUGCAAGGACUCUGCCAGGGUAGACCCCUAGGAACUCAUAGGUUAAUAUCUGAGGUUUUAUGUAAAACAAGGCAUUGCUAUUCUGAAAUUGCUCCAAAAUAUCAUAAUGGAUAGUAGUGGAAUCAUUAAAUAAUCAUUUGUCUGUCUUUACUGAACACACAUAUUUUAUGUCCCUGAUUUUAAGGAUUCUGUUUUGCAUUGUUUUCCAUAAACAUCCUUAUUUCUGUUGUUUCUACUUGCCUAUUCCCUCUAAACCCUGCCAUUCCCAACAGAGCAUGUAAUUAUUAUUAAUUUCUUGAUAUAUACAAAUAUAUUUCAUUUUCCUCUCUUUCAGGAACUUUCCUUCUAUUUAUGGACUGCUUAAGAAUAGUCAACUCACCAACGUGCCUAGUCAGUAAAUGAAUCCACUUGGGAACUUGAAAAUCAUCUUAAUUUUUUAUUUGCAUAAUUUUGUGUUCUGUGACAUGCUUUUAUUAUAUGAUUAUGCUUUUAAUUUGAGGAACCUACUCUUUUAAAAAAAAAAAGAAGAAGGAAAGAAAAUCUGUCUUAUUUUGUUGUCUUCCAAUAAUGAAAGGAGAAUGACUUGUAUAGUAGUUAAUAAAGGCUGCCUAUUGAAAUCUCUUCUGCUUCAAA